AAAAAGAUAAGCUAAUUAAGCUAAUGGGUUCAUACCCCACAUAUAAAGGUCUUAAUCCUUUUCUUUUUA
rnacentral:tRNA from 1 species